CGGGAGAGGGGAGAGGGGCAGUGUCGGCUGGACCCUGCGCCUGAGCCUGCGGCCGAGCAGGGAGCCCGGGAGCCCAGGAAGCGCAUCGGGCAGAGAACCGCUGGUCCUGGGGACACAGUGACGGCAACACCAGCACACACGGAGGCCCCCACCCCGGAGGCUGGAGAGAGGGAGCAGGUGCUGAAUGUGGGCAGCAGGCAGCCUGCUGCGGACUGGGGGAAGAAAUACCGCGCAGAAGGCAGAGCCGAGUUCAGUGGUGACAGGAAAGAAGGGGAGAACUGGUGUUGACUCCAGCUAACUCACUGAAGUUCCGUGGAAGCCAUCCUGGUCGCAGCAGAGGUUGGGGUCAAAGUGUCCUGGAUCAGGACUCAUCUGCACACUCGGUAGUUCGCUGAUCUCACACUAGCCAAGUAUUUUCCUGCCUGGAAAUGGACAGCACUCUUGAUCUGAGGAGAGAAGGUGGGGAGCCCCUGCCCAGGCCUCGCACAAAGGCUGCUACAUCUUCUCUGUUUCCAUGGGGGCCCAGAGCCUCGCUGGCCACACACCCCUGGA
rnacentral:lncRNA from 1 species